GUGCUUGCUUUGGCAGCACAUAUAAUAAAAUUGCAAUGACAGAGAAGAUUAGCAUGGCCCCUGCACCGAGAUGACACACAAAUUUGUGAAGCAUUCCAUAUUUUU